ACGGGGUGCAGCAGGCGCGAAACCUUUGCAAUGUGCGCAAGCACGACAAGGUUAAUCCGAGUGUUUCCUGCUAAAGGAAUCUUUUGUUAGUCGUAAAACCACUGAUGAAUAAGGGGUGGGCAAGUUCUGGUGUCAGCCGCCGCGGUAAAACCAGCACCUCAAGUGGUCAGGAGGAUUAUUGGGCCUAAAGCAUCCGUAGCCGGCUCUGCAAGUUUUCGGUUAAAUCCAUUUGCUUAACAAAUGGGCUGCCGAAAAUACUACAUAGCUAGGGAGUGGGAGAGGUAGACGGUAUUCGGUAGGAAGGGGUAAAAUCCUUUGAUCUAUUGAGGACCACCUAUGGCGAAGGCAGUCUACCAGAACACGUUCGACGGUGAGGGAUGAAAGCUGGGGGAGCAUACCGGAUUAGAUACCCGGGUAGUCCCAGCUGUAAACGAUGCAGACUCGGUGAUGCGCUGGCUUGUGGCCAGUGCAGUGCCGCAGGGAAGCCGUUAAGUUUGCCGCCUGGGAAGUACGUACGCAAGUAUGAAACUUAAAGGAAUUGGCUGGGGAGCAC
rnacentral:rRNA from 2 species